rnacentral:misc_RNA from 1 species
GUGAAUCAUCGAAUCUUUGAACGCAAAUUGCACUCUCUUCGGAGAGUAUGCCUGUUUGAGGGUCAGCCUAAAAAAAAUCGACAUCGUGGCUGUUUCGCGGUGGCGGUCGUCGGAAAUGUGGUGAUCUUAAAUCAUUGGUUUAAGCGACUUGCAAUUUUCUUUACGAUUCCAUGAACGUUUCCAAGAUUUAUUUCUUUACUCGUUUCAGGUAUCGAUUUUAUUAGGAGUGG